rnacentral:siRNA from 1 species
ACGCAAGUGUGUAGAAUCUGGUA